UACGUAGGGUGCAAGCGUUGUCCGGAAUUAUUGGGCGUAAAGAGCUCGUAGGCGGCUUGUCACGUCGACUGUGAAAACCCGGGGCUCAACUCCGGGCCUGCAGUCGAUACGGGCUGGCUUGAGUGCGGUAGGGGAGACUGGAAUUCCUGGUGUAGCGGUGAAAUGCGCAGAUAUCAGGAGGAACACCGAUGGCGAAGGCAGGUCUCUGGGCCACUACUGACGCUGAGAAGCGAAAGCGUGGGGAGUGAACAGG
rnacentral:rRNA from 1 species